UACGGAGGGUGCAAGCGUUAUCCGGAUUUACUGGGUUUAAAGGGUGCGUAGGUGGGUCUGUAAGUCAGUGGUGAAAUCUUCGAGCUUAACUCGGAAACUGCCAUUGAUACUAUAGGUCUUGAAUCAUCUGGAGGUGAGCGGAAUAUGUCAUGUAGCGGUGAAAUGCUUAGAUAUGACAUAGAACACCGAUUGCGAAGGCAGCUCACUACGGAUGUAUUGACACUGGGGCACGAAAGCGUGGGGAUCAAACAGGAUUAGAUACCCGGGUAGU
rnacentral:rRNA from 1 species